rnacentral:snRNA from 1 species
GUCCUCGCUUCGGCAGCACAUAUACUAAAAUUGGAAUGAUACAGAGAAGAUUAGGAUGGCCCCUGCACAAGGAUGACAUGCAAAUUCAUGAAGCAUUCCAUAUUUUU